rnacentral:rRNA from 1 species
UGAGUAACAUGUAUGCAACCUGCCUGCCACAGCCGGAUAAUCGGGAGAAAUUCCGUCUAAUACGGCAUAAUGCAUCGACGGGACAUCCUGUUGGUGCCAAAGGUUAAUUCCGGUGGCGGAUGGGCAUGCGUCGCAUUAGUUAGUUGGCGGUGUAACGGACCACCAAGACGACGAUGCGUAGGGGUUCUGAGAGGAAGGUCCCCCACACUGGUACUGAGACACGGACCAGACUCCUACGGAAGGCAGCAG